AUGGAAUGUGGCGAAGUAUGGU
rnacentral:miRNA from 1 species